GUAAUUGGAGACUCGUAAUACGGGCUGUAGUUGGAGUCUAGGUAGUAUUCUUAUGUUGGCAGAAGGUGUCUGGAGCUGUGAAGUUACCCUGCAGCACUUCGACCUUUUUCCUAACUUUCUUUCAGAUGCGGAGGGAUCGACCUCCCGGCAGAGCGCCUCGUCCCAGAUGAGGGGAUCCCCCUGAGAAGGAAGUAAAGCUGGAUAGCAGCAGUGAAGGUGAAGCAUUGUGAAGGUGGUCUACUUGCAAGAUAUCCCAGCCCAGGAUGCCAGAGGACAGGUGGG